CGUAACAAGGUCUCCGUAGGUGAACCUGCGGAGGGAUCAUUACACAAAUAUGAAGGUGGGCUGGAACCUCUCGGGGUUACAGCCUUGCUGAAUUAUUCACCCUUGUCUUUUGCGUACUUCUUGUUUCCUUGGUGGGUUCGCCCACCACUAGGACAAACAUAAACCUUUUGUAAUUGCAAUCAGCGUCAGUAACAAAUUAAUAAUUACAACUUUCAACAACGGAUCUCUUGGUUCUGGCAUCGAUGAAGAACGCAGCGAAAUGCGAUAAGUAGUGUGAAUUGCAGAAUUCAGUGAAUCAUCGAAUCUUUGAACGCACAUUGCGCCCUUUGGUAUUCCAAAGGGCAUGCCUGUUCGAGCGUCAUUUGUACCCUCAAGCUUUGCUUGGUGUUGGGCGUCUUGUCUCUAGCUUUGCUGGAGACUCGCCUUAAAGUAAUUGGCAGCCGGCCUACUGGUUUCGGAGCGCAGCACAAGUCGCACUCUCUAUCAGCAAAGGUCUAGCAUCCAUUAAGCCUUUUUUUCAACUUUUGACCUCGGAUCAGGUAGGGAUACCCGCUGAACUUAAGCAUAUCA
rnacentral:rRNA from 1 species